rnacentral:lncRNA from 12 species
UACAUAAAAUUUUAUUUUUUGUUUAUUUUUAUUUUAUUUUAUUUUAUUUUAUUUUAUUUUAUUUUAUUUGUUUUAUUUAUCUACGAUAGUCACACAGAGAGAGAGAGAGAGAGAGGCAGAGACACAGGCAGAGGGAGAAGCAGGCUCCAUGCACCAGGAGCCCAACGUGGGAUUCGAUCCCGGGUCUCCAGGAUCGCGCCUUGGGCCGAAGGCAGGCGCCAAACCCCUGUGCCACCCAGGGAUCCCUACAUAAAAUUUAAAUAAAAUGUGCAAAAAAAAAAAAAUGAAACAGGUAAGAAGCUGAAAGUUCUUACAGUAAGCUAUGACAGUGAUGUUUGGAUGUUGAGAGAAAGGCCACUGAGGGUGUCAGUCAAGGAACACCAAAGACUUACGUGCAUUUUGUUUCUUGGGGGGAAAAAAAGGUUGGCAGUUGUGAAUGGUCAGUCUGGAUUUUUUACUCUGUUUCCCACACUUCCUUAGGAAUUACCAUUUGUUAAAUGUGCCCCCUCUUUUUCUUUUAUGAAAUGUGAGAAAGACAAACUCGCCAUUCAGUCUAUACAGAGGAUGCUGUGGAUGCUGUGAUACCAUCACGGGAUGCUGUGAUACCAUCGUGCGAGAAAUAAUAGGAUACUCUGUAUAAAAGCUACAAGAGGGAAACCCCAUGUUGGAUUCCUCCAAAACAACACCAUGUUCCUUGAACCGAAUCUGUACCUCUCUUAGCACCUCGAUUCCAAGUCUCCCAAGGCCGCAACUGGGACACACACUUGUCAUUCACAGGCCAAGCCACAGGAUGCCACUGUUGCAUUUUUGCUAUAAUAGACUUCUACUUGAGAUGAAUAAAGGGGGGGGGGGGGAGUGGAAGGAAAAUCUCUUCUUUUAUAAACAGAUACGCGACAACUAUUUGAGGUUUAAGAUUCAAAUCUUAUCUUUUGAGUUCUGACUAAUUUUUUAAAUCCCUUUACACUGGAUUUUAAAUACCACAUAUUGAAGUCAUUUGAGCAUUUUAGUAAUUACAUUCCAGAAUGAAACAAAAGCAAAUUAUUUUGGAACCAUUAAAAAAUAUAUACGAGCACCCACAAAUACGUAGAGCAAAGUCCUCUGAGAGUUAAAUUCUCAAAAGUGAUUUCUAUUUCAGCUACAUGGAGUCUGUUCCUAUAUUUAUACUUGUUAGAUCUCUGUGAUACAUUACUUACUAGUAUUAAAACUAUCUAAAAUUGUUUUUUUGAUGGGGCGAUGUAUUUUUGAAAUCAGAAUGUUGGAUACAUCAAAUAAUGUACUCAGAGAUACUCUGCAUUUCUAAUCGAACCAUGAUUGAUCAUUAUACUUGGCACUUUAAAAUUUCCUUCUGACCCCAUCUUAGACUCUAGCAAGUAAUUAAAAGUUUAUAAAUUGACAAUUUCAGGUCCCAGAGAAACUGAUAUUUAAAGAGAAGCAUUCCUUUUGAUUUAUGAGUAAAUAAUUGUACAGCCAGGCAUCUCCCAUGCAGAAUACAUCCAAUUAAGAAUCUACGAAUUCCUGGUCUGUGCGUAUAGGAAAUAAAUUGUAGUCCCUCAAAGAGACUGUAGUCUAA